UUCUAAAGUUGAUAACAAUUAUUCAAUUACAAGCAUAUCUUUGGUAUGAUAUAUUUCUGUGUAGGAUACUUGGUCAUAUGAACGUUGUCUACAGGUUGUCAAACAAAUCAGCCUACAUUUAGCGGAAAUACAACCUACAUAUUCUACUUUUCUUAAAAGAAACUAAACGAUAUCGACUUAGAAAUCUUACUUUCCAAGGAUUUCAUGAACAACAUUUGCGCAAUUUAUUAUCAUACGAAUAGUAUACUAAUAAUAAUUACCACUGAUAUGUAAUAAUAUAUAUCAUACAUUUUUUUCGCAUUUUUAACUUCGUUGUUGCUUCUUAUAUGACUAUUAUAUUUCUAUGUAUAAUAAUUCUAUAACACGAUAUAAAGAAAUCAAUAGAACCGUAACGGUCAUUUAAAUGGAAACAUUUUCUUUUAUAAAGAUAAUAUUAUAGACAUGGAUCUAACUAUGAAUUAAGAUAGAUAACAAAUAGGUAGACAAUAAAAAAUACAGUAAAAUAUAGCGAAAUAGAAAAUGUAGUAAAUUGCAUUAAAGCAGAAGAUGUCUGUUCUUGAAAGAUCACAUUAGAGCGAUCACAUUAGAGAAAUGCAGUAUUAAUUUAGAAGCGGGAAUGUUAGGUGUAUUUGUAGGAGUAUGUCCCCAAAGAGACUGGAAGAUGCUAAUAGGUGCUGAGACAGUGAUGUGAAUCGAAGGCGCGCUUCCAAUAUCCGUCUUCAUUAGUCAGAUCGCAACACGAACUGCCUUCGGAAAUCUAGAUGGGUUACGAUGCUCUGGGUAGCUUGGUGCCAGUACUUGGAUACGCAGGCGGGCCACGAUCAAGCCCUCCAGGCUGGAAAAUCGAAGGGGUCGAAACUGUACGUACCUAUACCGAACAAACCAAAUACGCUAACAGAACAAAAGAAGCGGUAAAUAUUACACUGAUUCGCUUGUACGUAAGGCGAUGACCGAUUUCAAUGGAAAAUAAAAGAAUUCCGAACGCAAGAAUUUGAGAAAGAAAUUAAUUUUGAAUUCUACUAUGUUCGACAAGUCAGCCGGCAAAUCCAAGUAAAAGGAUUUGUUUGAAAGAAUUUAUUUCUUUUACUUUCAUAAAUCUUUCGAAUAAAUUUCUGAUCAUAAAAUUA